ACUAUUUCACAUAGUAUAUAUAGAAAAUUUAUGAUUCUACUUAAACCAAAUUCGUGGAAUAAUUGAACACAAUGAAUAAUUGAACGGGAUUUCAAUUAGUUUACACUAGAAAAUAGUAUGCCCCGCAUCACCAAUUCGGGACAAUGCAGUUGAAUAGUUGUUUGAUAUGACGAAUAGUUAUUAAUUUAAGGAAAACCAAAAAGACCAGUUCGUUAAUUGAUUCGAUGAUUACUGACUGACAAAAAUACAAUUGCUG